rnacentral:rRNA from 1 species
CAGGAUGAACGCUAGCGGCAGGCUUAACACAUGCAAGUCGAGGGGCGAGCGGGAGUGUAGCAAUACAUGCCGGCGACCGGCGGAUGGGUGCGUAACGCGUAUGCAACCUAACCUUAUACAGGGGAAUAACCUUUCGAAAGGGAGACUAACACCCCAUAGUAUUGAUUUAAGGCAUCUUAGAUUAAUUAAAUAUUUAUAGGUAUAAGAUGGGCAUGCGUAUGAUUAGCUAGUUGGUAAGGUAACGGCUUACCAAGGCGACGAUCAUUAGGGGUUCUGAGAGGAAGGUCCCCCACACUGGUACUGAGACACGGUCCAAACUCCUACGGGAGGCAGCAGUGAGGAAUAUUGGUCAAUGGACGAGAGUCUGAACCAGCCAAAGUAGCGUGAAGGAUGACUGCCCUAUGGGUUGUAAACUUCUUUUAUAAGGGAAUAAAGUGAGGGACGUGUCCCUUUUUGUAUGUACCUUAUGAAUAAGGAUCGGCUAACUCCGUGCCAGCCGCCGC